GUCGUUUCUUACCUAGCGGAAAAGGAGGUAGCCACGGACCUCGGGGCGGCGCCUUCCGAUUGGCUGUUGCUGAGCGCGCGGGGAGGGGGCGUGGCGCUCCGCGGCGGCGGGCAGGCGGUGCGGCCCUCGCCAUGGGGAGCCGCGGGCAGGUUUUGAAACUUUUUAAAUUGUUACACAGAACCCGACAAGAGGUUUUUAAAAACGAUACCAGAGCCCUGGAAGCUGCAAGACAAAAGAUAAACGAAGAAUUCAAAAAUAACCAAAAUGAGACAUCUGCAGAGAAAAUAAAUGAGCUUCUGAAAAUAGCUUCAGACGUUGAAGUGAUUCUCAGAACUUCUGUUAUUCAGGCAAUUCACACAGAUUCCGACAAAAUAUUGCUUGUACCCAGGAAAGAUCUGCUACAAGACAACACUCCUUACUUUGAUAAACCAACAAAAAAGCAUCAAUCCUGAGGAAAAUAUGUCCUUCUCCCGCAAAGAGUGACUUCCUGAGGCGUUUAUCAAAGAAAAGAGGAUGGGUGCUUUUGAAACUUAUGUAGUCUCAAGUGAUCUGACUUGUGUAGAGUGAAUUUAUGAUUUACUGGAGCUGCAGAGUUUUAGAGCAGAUCUAUGUGCCUUCCUUUCAGAAUGUGCAUCAUCAGCCUUAUAAGGCAUAAAGGUAAGACCCUGAAGACAGAAGUAGAGGAAGAAGAAGUUUUUGAAAGAUAUGGUUAUUGCAUAUUACUAUCUUUGGACAUGGAAGAAGUAGUAAAAGUAGUCGACAAUGUGGGUAAGACUGUCAACAAGGUGGGAAAGAAAUUAGGGGAACGGUCAGUAUUUAGUCAGGAGGAUAUUUGAGAAACACUUAGAAACUGGUAAAAGCAAAGUGCCUUAGCUCUUGAGGAACAAACUGUAACAAAGCAGAGUCCAAACUGCUGCUCAGAGACAUUUGUCCAACGCAGUUCAACCUGCCGAAGAUUUAAUUGAGUUCAUUACAGGCAUGGCUGGCUCUCUACACAGUUUGUUCUCACACACAACAUGAUUAGUACUUUGUUAGUAACCAUGGCAGCUAAAUAUGUACCAUCCCUGCCAGAAGCAGAGCCUGGCACAUGACUGUCCUCCGACAACUAUUUGGCACAUGCUUUUGCAACAUAGAUGAGUCUCCUGACUGUGCUGCUGGACCUGGUUUGGAGAGGUUGGCUUCUUAUCGGUUUAUGCCAGGGGGCUACUCGACCUGCCUUUGGGCACUCUAGUCUCUGUUGAGACACAAGGCAGGGGACAUACCCAAACUAUGAAAAAUGCACCAGAACCACCUCACACAGAUAGCUGUGGAUGCACGCAUUUGGCACAGCCUUCUGCGAGAGGAAUUGCUGUGGGGAACAGCUCAAACCAUAUGCGUUAUGACAGGAUCUGAUGCAAAUGCCACAACUGUUUAAGAAAGUACAGUGGUACUCCUAAUGUGGACAGUCCUUCAUGGGAAUCAUGGAUGUGUUAGCAGGUUUGGCCUAAGAUCCCUGAGACAUUCCUGUGAUUCACCUGCUCCUGCAUGAAAUUUGGCCAGUAAGACCUGGAAGUUCUUACUUGCAUCACAUGUCUUAGAUUCACGGUAUUGAAGUGACAUAUUGUAUGCAUGUCCCUCUUCUUGGUUUAUACACUUGACAAAACAGGAUCAUGUUUCUGCAGAAAGUUUUCUGUGUAAA